AACUAACGCUGGCGGCGUGCCUAACACAUGCAAGUCGUACGAGAAAGUUGGCUUCGGCCGAUGAGUACAGUGGCGCACGGGUGAGUAACGCGUGGAUAAUCUACCCUUUAGUCCGGAAUAACUUGCCGAAAGGUGAACUAAUACCGGAUGACAUCCCGGGUUCUCCGGAAACCGGGAUCAAAGAAGGCCUCUGCUUGCAAGCUUUUGCUGAAGGAUGAGUCCGCGUACCAUUAGCUAGUUGGUGGGGUAAUGGCCUACCAAGGUUAUGAUGGUUAGCUGGUACUGAGAGGAUGAUCAGCCACACUGGAACUGAAACACGGUCCAGACUCCUACGGGAGGCAGCAGUGAGGAAUAUUGCGCAAGUGGGGGCAACCCUGACGCAGCAACGCCGCGUGAGUGAGGAAGGUUUUCGGAUUGUAAAGCUCUGUCGAGCGGAAAGAAAUGCACGAUGGCUAAUAUCCAUCAUGCUUGACGGUACCGCUAGAGGAAGCACC
rnacentral:rRNA from 1 species